CUUCUCUUAACUGACUCUUUUUGUGGUUAUUUGGUCCAUGCAUGUUUUUAUGUAUUUAUUUUUCUUUAAUUGUGGGUGGAGUUGACACUUUCCAAGUGAGUCUUGUAUGUCUAAAAUUGUGAAAGUAUGUACAUAUUACUUCAAAAGUCACCAGAUAUUUAAUACCUCUGGGCUUUUUUGUAUAAUUUUAGAAGUUAUGGAUUUCUUUUCAAACAGGUUGUUUAAACAUUUUUUCUGCAGUUUGUUUUCUUUGUGUGGACAAGGAUUUGUUUUGUUUUGUGAUGUUUUUGUUUUGUUUUGUUUUGUUUUAAUCAGAUGGUAAGGGGUGCGUGAUCAGUUGCCAAGGAGGGAGUAGAGGUAUCUUAUACUUGUGAGUUAAACAGUCCGAUUUUCAGUGGGGUCACACACAGAUGGGACGCGGCUUAGGAGGAAUCCCGGGCUGCUGCGGGCGUUCCUUGGCCCAGUGGCCAGAUUUCCUGCAUAUUUUUCAGC
rnacentral:lncRNA from 1 species